GAACGAGAACAUCACCUGCAGAGGCCAGAGGCCCAGCCGGGCUCGUCAUUCACCCCAGCCUCAACACCCUCAGGUCAUUCACCCCAGCCUCAGGCCUCAACACCCUCAGGUCAUUCACCCCAGCCUCAGGCCUCAACACCCUCAGGUCAUUCACCCUAGCCUCAGGCCUCAACACCCUCAGG